rnacentral:rRNA from 1 species
CCUAACCGCGCGAAGGUAGCAUAAUCACUUGUUCUUUAAAUAAGGACUAGUAUCAACGGCAUCACGAGGGUUCUACUGUCUCCUCCCCCCAAUCAGUGAAACUCAUCUCCCCGUGAAGAAGCGGGGCAUAAACCCAUAAGACGAGACAGACCCCAUGGAGCUUUAAACCUAGCUACACCCCAGAUUUUUUAUACCUUCUUAUUAACCUGGACCCUGUAUACUAAGUUUUAGGUUGGGGUGACCGCGGAGUAAAAUAAAACCUCCGCAAUGAACGAGCCUACCCUCUAAUCUAAGAAGAUCACUUCUAAGAAUUAGCACUCUAACAUAAAAUGAUCCGGUCACCGAUCAACGAACCAAGUUACCCUGGGGAUAACAGCGCAAUCCACUUCAAGAGCUCAUAUCGACAGGUGGGUUUACGACCUCGAUGUUGGAUCAGG